rfam:Schistosoma margrebowiei strain Zambia genome assembly, scaffold: SMRZ_contig0001240
AUCCAGCUGACGAGUCCCAAAUAGGACGAAACUCGCUUUGUCCUGGAU